GUGGGAGGCUCGGCUGUCGGCAGCUGCUUAUAAGAAAAUAAAAUAUCUGGUUGCUUCACUCCAGUCUGAUGGGCUUCGUUGAAGAUGGUGACUGCUAACUAUUAACGAUCUGCUGGAAUUAAUGUUGUAACCUUAUCUACAGGAUCUUCGGAAACACAACAAGAUUGUCUCUGCUACACAGCCCCUUCAGAGUAGUUGACAGAGGAUUAUAUUUGUGCUGACUCCUGCUGGAAUACAACUUUGCUGCCACCAACUGGCAGGAAGUCUCAAAUACAUCUCCUAGAGGUUACCCAGCAUGUUUGAACUAGACAGUGAGUUUUGGAUCUUCAUCUAACCAUAACUGUAGCUGAGAUCAGUUUUGCUUUUCCAGCCAUAGAUGACAGUAGAUUUUGAUUUUGUAUGGAAUCUGGAUGAUAUUUUGCUGAAGUCCAAAGACUCCACAUGCUCUAAGAGGAAAAAGAAAGUCAUCUCACGUUUGUCUUAAAUGAAUGACACUUUAUUUUGAAAUAGUGACCUCUGGUUCUGUAGAACAUGGAACAGUACAGCACAGGAACAGGCCCUUCAGCCCACAAUAUUAUGCUGAACCAAUGACACCUCAUUUCUUCCGUCUGCAUAUGGUACAUAUCCCUCCAUUCUUUGGAUAUUCAUGUGCCAAUCAAAGAACCUUUUAAAUACCUGUGUUGCAUCUGCCUCACCACCAUCCCUGGUAGCACACUUCAGGCACCCAUCACUCUCUGUAAUAAAAGUCUUGCCCCCAAUACGUCCCUUGAACUUGCCCCUUCUCACCUUAAGUGCAUGUAUUCUAGUAUUAGACAUCACGACUGGGUGAACAAAUCCAGCUGUGAGAGGCUAUCUGUGCUUCACUUAGUUUUAUAAACUUCUAACAGGACUCUCCUCAGCUUCUGCUCCUCAAGUGGAAAAAAAAUCAAGAUUGUCAAACCUCUCCUUACAGUAUAUGCCCUCUAGUCAGGCAGCAUCCUGGUAAACCUCUUCUGCACCUUCAUCAAAACCUCCACAUCCUUCCUAUAUUGGGAUAGACCAGAAUUUAAUCCAAUAUUCCAGAUAUGGAUUAAGCAGUACUUUAUAAAGCUGCAGUAUAACUUUCUGGGGGACAUCCAUAUCUAUUCUAAUCAUCAAACGCCAUCCAUACCAGACCCAUUUACGAGCAGUACCACAGCAAUUUUGGUGCUCAUCUAGAUAAUUCUUAUAUAUUGUGAGAGAUAGCCUCCAGCAGGUAAAUAGACAACGUGUUCCAGAUUCCAACCACUGGGUAAAAUAUUUUGUCUUCCUUAACCUCUCUUUGCCAUAAAUUUCUGCCCUCUCUAUUUUCUUGCUGCCUACUCUAUCUAUGCCCCUUGAAUAUAUACAACAAGUCUAAUCUGUUCAAUCUUUCCUUGUAAGAGAACCCCCCCCCCCCCUCCAUUCCAGGCAUUACUAAUAAACCUUGUCUGGUCUGCUUCCAAUGUAUUAACAUCUUUUUUAAGUAAGACUAGUAGUGUACACAGCAUUCCAGAUGUGCUCUUACCAGUGCCCUGUAUAACGGAAGCAUUACCUUCCUAAUUUUAUAUCCAGUUUCCUUGGCAAUAAACAAUCACAUUCUAUUAGCUUUCUGAAAGUAUUUGCCACAGUGGCAUUUUUGCCAGCAUUAUAAAUCAUGUACUAGGACACCCAGGUCCCUCUGAACAAUAGACAAUAGGUGCAGGAGUAGGCCCUUCGAGCCCUUCGAGCCUCACACAUUUAGAUAAAAGGUCUCAUUUUAAUUCUUCCUGGAAAAAUCAACGAUUUCACAUGUUCCCACACACUGCAUUUGCAGAUUUCUGCCCAGUCAUUUACCCUCCCUACUUUCCCUCACAGGUUCCUUGUGUCUGCUUCACAACUUUCCAACCUGUGCUUGUGCCAUCGACACAGGCAGAGUGUUGAACCUGAUUUUGUGUGGCUAAACCUCACCGAUGAUCCAUCAGCGAGCCUUUGAGACACUCAUGUACAGUUACAAUGUGUUCAUUAGAUCGAAAGGAAGGAAGAUAUGCCUUUCACCACUGCAAACACCUUACAGUUAAUGAAGCACCUUUGAGGUGGGAUUAUUAUUCUAAUAGGGCCCCAUUUUGUGCACAGUUGCUCCUACAACCAACGAAGUGAUUGCACAAUCCCCCUUAAAAAUAUUGAGUAAGUGAUGAGUAUUUACCACACUUCCCUGCUCCUGUUUGAAGUUGUGUUUUGAAUUAUUUUACAUCAUCUUGAGAGAGCGGGAAGGCUUUUUGUUGAUGUGAAAGACAGCACGCCAUAGAGUCUUAUAAGCAUUGAAUACUGGCCAUUCAGCCCACCAUGUCUAUGCCAACCACGGGACAUUCUCAAAUUAAUCCCAUUCUGCCUCAUAACCUCCUGCACUUCAGCGACUGAAAUGUUGAUCUAGGCAUUUCUUAAAUGCUGUCGAUGACUCUUUCCAUCGCUCUCACGGGUAGUGUUUUCCAAGUACUCUCAACACUCUGGGCAAAGGAGUUCUGGUAUUGCAGCUCUCCCUCUUCUAACCCAGGUGAGGGCGUGCUACGCACUGAGGCAAACUGGAUGGGGGGGGUCAAUCAGUCUUGAAAUGAAGUGGUUAUCCAUGUGAGAACGCUGAACUCUAAACUUUGGAGCUCAUCAGCAUUUAAAGGGUUAAAUCCAUGGGUGCACUAUAUUUAAAAAAAGAUGUGAUUCAGCUGUCAAUUUUCCUUGUACUGUACACUGUUAAGUCAUAUACAUCUGUACUUAAUUUAUAAAAGAAGUUAAUGAGAAACUUCAAACAAUUUAAAUGUCAAUUACAAAGAAAGCAUGGUUUGAAAAUUCCAGUAAUCUGUCCAUAUUGGGAUUCAAACCACGUUCCCAGGUGUAUAUAAUUCAUGGCAGAUGACAUUCCAAAGAUCCAAUUACAGAGGUUCUGCUAAUCUUCAACGCAGGAUUGAGUGCAGGAGCACACUGAGCAUCUGUCACGCCAUGUUGUGGCUGCAUUGAGACAUGUGCUCGAAGAUAUUACUGUACAUAAACUUUAUGUCACGUUAGUAAUGAAGUUGAGCUUCAAAGUUAUUAGUUCCUUGGACAGAUGAGAAAUGUGAACUUUACUGUGCUGCUGUAGUUUUGCAGCAGUAAAGAAAAAUGAGCCUCUGGAUUAUAAAAGAAAGUGUAAUACUUCAGUUCUUUGAUUUUUGUAUUACAAUAUUUAUGUUUUAUGUAGCUUUUUAAGGUGCUUAGCUUGGGUGAAUUGCCUUUGAAAUUGAGUUGUGUGAUAUUAGCAUGAUGCAUGUUCAGCCAGGCCAUGCAUUGUGAAAGGUACAUUUCCUAUUUCUGCUGAGCGUGAGUGUCUUUCCUGCUUUCUAGUGUGGGCUGCAGUGUAUCAGGGACACCAACAAGCCAAAGAUUAAGUAAUAUCCCGAAAGAAAAAAAGAUUGACUGCAAGUAUGAAGUCGACAAGUGAUGAAAGUAGCCCUGAGGUUGCCAAUUAAAUAGGCAAGGCCUGGAACUGAUAAGUUAAUGGGCAGUUUCCCCUUUUUUUUGGCCAGCAAAAGCUUUAAAGUACAGGUUAUAAAAAUCAGAAGUGUAACCUAUUUCCUACAACAUAUCCAAUUAAGCUGAGCCACUUAGACUUUGCAGACUUUGUCUUUCUUCUUUCCUAGUUUGGGUUAACUGAUAGAGUGCUGAAUUCCUAGAAUCAUCAUCAAGAUAGUUCAGUCAGUGAAAUACAGACCUGCUUGCUUUAUUCAUUUCAAAUUUAGGAAAAAUACAUUUCAAGCUGCUUUUACAUACGUCACCAUGUGAUUAUUCUGAAGCUAAUUAAAAUUAGAUUUUAUCACAACAGCUGCUCAUUUUAGGUAAAUGAUGCACCUUGGAAAAAAAGUUAGUUGCUACAUUUGAGUUUUAAUUUUUGCUGAGCUGGGGAAAUAUAUUGACUUUCUCUUGUGUGCACCACAAGUGAUUACAAAUUUAGCACACGUCCUUCUGUUGAAAGUAACAGAUUUGUGUAAAUAAUAUAAUGUAGUAUUUGAGUUGUUAGGCUUCAUUGUAUCCUUCAUUGUUGAAUUAUUCCUUGGAAGUGAACUCCAGGCACAAAAACAAUAACUCCUAUUCGAAGAAGAGCAGUGGAGUUCUUUCCAAUAUCUAGGUCCAAAUCUACCCUUCACCACUGGAACUGAUUAUGAAGUCAGUAUCUUCUUGCUCUUUGUGGGAUUCUGUUGUGCAAGAAUUGGCAACUGUGUCCAAUGAUGAUAAUAGUGACAACCUUUUAAAACUGCUUUGACUAUAAAGUACUUUGCAAUGUUCAGAAUAAGGUGCUAUGUAAAUGUAACUCAGUCUUGUUUUCAUUUUUGCCACCUAGGAUUUCAUGCUUUUAGGUCUGUGGCCUUAAACCGAUCAUGUAUAAUGUUUCAGGAUCAUUUUGCUGAAAAGUCUAAAUUCGAAACUGAAAUUGUCAAUAAAACAUUUCAUUAUAUUAAUUUCAGUUAUUGAAUAUUGACAAAUUAAAGUCCAAUAUAUCUUCUAUUAUUGCUCAAUAAAUAAUUUGUGGAGUAUACUUUGAUUUUGCUGUUGACGGUUUUUUAAUGCUAUUCUUUACAUUGAUUUCCAUAUGCAGCAUUCUUAUGUUUAGAUUCUUGUAUUUUACAGAAACCCUAAUCUUAAAAUGGAUAUUAUUUCUAUGGCCCAGGGAUCUAAUAAUUCAGCUCUUGAAAGUCCAAGUGAAUUAUUUCAUGAAGGAUCCCUCCCACCCUGCUCAUAGACUGUUUGUCCCACUUCCAUUAGGGAGGAGUCUGCAUAGCAUCCACACCAGGACCACCAGACUCAAAAGGUUGCCUUCUCCAAGCAGUAAGGCUGAUCAACAUCUCCAGCCAUUAACCUCCCCACCAAAACCCUACCACCACUACUUUAUCACUUCUUAUCAGGGUCAACUUGUGUACAGACACUCCUGUACCUAGUAUCACUUUAUGUACAUACAAUCAAUCUAUAUAUAUAUCUUGUGUAUUUAUAUCUUUUUUUAUUAUUGUGCUUUUUAUCUUAUUGAUUUUUUUGUGUUGCAUCAUAUCUGGAAUAAUAAUAAUUUUGUUCUCCUUUACAUUAACUGGA